rnacentral:rRNA from 1 species
UACGAAGGGGGCAAGCGUUGUUCGGAAUUAUUGGGCGUAAAGAGCUCGUAGGCGGUGUGUCACGUCGGCCGUGAAAACCUGGGGCUUAACUCUGGGCGUGCGGUCGAUACGGGCAUCACUAGAGUUCGGCAGGGGAGACUGGAAUUCCUGGUGUAGCGGUGAAAUGCGCAGAUAUCAGGAGGAACACCGGUGGCGAAGGCGGGUCUCUGGGCCGAUACUGACGCUGAGGAGCGAAAGCAUGGGUAGCGAACAGG